UCUAAGGUCCGCAGCCCUGUUCGUACAGUGCUUGACCUUAGAGCUAUCUUCUUACAAAACUGCCUAAUUACAGAACAAGACCAGCAUCUAUAUGGUAUUUGAAUACAUGGAUCACGAUCUCACCGGUCUAGCUGAUCGUCCCGGGAUAAAAUUCACAGUCCCUCAGAUAAAGUAAGGGUGCCUCCUUUUCAUAGCGAGAGUUCAACCUUACGACGAAAAAAUCACAGGUGCUACAUGAAACAGCUAUUAACUGGCUUAACUUACUGUCAUCUUAACAACAUUCUUCAUCGCGACAUCAAAGGCUCCAACCUUUUGAUAGAUAAUCAAGGCGUUCUGAAACUUGCUGACUUUGGGCUCGCUAGACCCUGCGCUCUUGAAAACUCAAAAACUUUGACGAAUCGCGUGAUCACCUUAUGGUAUCGACCGCCUGAACUACUUUUGGGCACGCAGACAUAUGGCCCAGCAGUCGAUAUGUGGUCAGCGGGAUGUAUAUUUGCAGAGCUACUCUAUGGAAAACCGAUCCUUCCGGUACGUGUUAGCUCUUUCAUGAUUUCUCUUGGAAUUUGAAUAUACCGUCCCGGGCGAAACGAUUUUUUAAUUUAUCAUUUGACCUUAACCGUUGGGAAAGGACGAGGUGGAACAGCUUGACUUGAUAUUCAAACUGUGUGGUUCUCCUGUGGCG
rnacentral:lncRNA from 1 species